GAAAUGCGAUAACUAAUGUGAAUUGCAGAAUUCAGUGAAUCAUCGAGUCUUUGAACGCACAUUGCGCCCCCUGGUAUUCCGGGGGGCAUGCCUGUCCGAGCGUCAUUGCUGCCCUCAAGCCCGGCUUGUGUGUUGGGUCGCCGUCCCCCUCUCCGGGGGGACUGGCCCGAAAGGCAGCGGCGGCACCGCGUCCGAUCCUCGAGCGUAUGGGGCUUUGUCACAUGCUCUGUAGGAUUGGCCGGCGCCUGCCGACGUUUUCCAACCAUUUUUUCCAGGUUGACCUCGGAUCAGGUAGGGAUACCCGCUGAACUUAAGC
rnacentral:misc_RNA from 1 species